rnacentral:rRNA from 1 species
AUGCCUAACACAUGCAAGUCGAACGGUAGCAUGAUCUGUAGCAAUACAGGUUGAUGGCGAGUGGCGGACGGGUGAGGAAUACAUCGGAAUCUGCCCGGUUGUGGGGGAUAACGUAGGGAAACUUACGCUAAUACCGCAUACGAUCGAGAGAUGAAAGCGGGGGACCGUAAGGCCUCGCGCAGUCGGAUGAGCCGAUGUCGGAUUAGCUAGUUGGUGGGGUAAAGGCCUACCAAGGCGACGAUCCGUAGCUGGUCUGAGAGGAUGAUCAGCCACACUGGGACUGAGACACGGCCCAGACUCCUACGGGAGGCAGCAGUGGGGAAUAUUGGACAAUGGGGGCAAUCUUCCUGAUCCAGCAAUGCCGCGUGUGUGAAGAAGGCCUUCGGGUUGUAAAGCACUUUUAUCCGGAACGAAACGUGUCGGGUUAACAACCCGGCAAACUGACGGUACCGGAGGAAUAAGCACCGGCUAACUUCCGUGCCAGCAGCCGCGGUA